rnacentral:lncRNA from 1 species
UAUUUUUUUGGAUAAUUUGCAUAAAAAAAUGCAUUAGUUUUGCAUUUUUUGCAAAGACAGUUUAAAUUUUGCGGACUUAAAUAGUUUAGACUUUUAGAGAUUUAACCAAAAUAUCUUUAUUACUCUGACUCCUUUCUCUCAUCCCGCUCAUAUCCUUCAGCACUUGUUAUCAUCAUCAUCGCCGUCAUUGCCCUCUUUCUCUUCCUCCUCCUCCACUGUCUCGGUCGUGAAUUUGAAAAAUACUAUUUGUACAAACAAUAUAGAGAUCGAUAUACAUAUUACAUUCUUAGAAACAAUGUUUUCCAAUUUUUUAAGUGUAAACAAAGUAUAUUACUUAUUUGAAACUAUAUACCCGAAGCUUUUAAAUUUUGAUUUUACUAUUCAAUCUAUCAAAUUAUUUGAUUUGAGUCCGUCAAUUGCAAUUAGACUUUAAAAUUUAAGCUAAUUACAUAUUUUAAUAAAUUUAUAAUUACAAGAAUUAAAUAAAAUAUACUAAUUAAAUCUGUAAAGAUAGAUGACAUAUUCAAAAAUUAUAAUUUAAUAAAAUAAAUUGAAAAGUUGGAUAGUAAAAAUUAAAAUUUUAAAAAAUUUUGAUAGUCAACUCAAAGUGGUCUAUCGCUCAGAUAAAUCAUAUAAAUUUUUAUCUAAAAAAAUUAAUAAGAUAAGUGAAUAAAUAUGAACCACAAAAUCGUUAGGAUGCGACUGCCGCACGAAAUCUGCUGCAACAGCAAGAAGGGAGAGGGAGAAGGAGGAAGAGUCCUGGUCACCAUGAUUUUUUUUUUUUCUUACAAUUUCUCUCUCCUAUUAACUGAAUUAGGGCUAUGUUGAGAAAUGUUUUAAAAAGAGAUUAGAUUGAGUUUUUCCUUUUUUUUUUUUUCAGGAGGAUGCUAGGUAUAGUUUUGAGUCAAUUUGUCUAUAUAUUUUGCUAUUUGAUAAAUAUAAAAAAUUAUAAAAUAAUACAGCAUACUAUCAAAUAAUACAAAUAUAAUAAAAUAAAGAAAUAUUGAAAAAAUAUAAUUUUAUGUCAUUAUAUAUUGUACUAUUUUUACGAUCUGUUGUACUAGUCAACUAGUAUAAUAUAUGGUUAAAUAGUGUCAUACUUUAUUCUCUUUAAUGAAAAAAAUUUUAAAAAAAUAAAAGAAGAAAAAGAAGGAGGUGAAUACUGAGGUGAAUUUCCUUUCUCUCCUAGUGUGCACGUCCUCUUUCGGCUCAGGCGCCUUGCCGCAUACUAGGGAUGUCAAUGGAUAUGAAUAUCCGAAAGAUUGUUGGAACCCGAAUCAGAACGAGACGAGUUUACCCGAGCUUAACGGGUAUGAAUUCGCUUAUGGGUAUAGAAAAUAAAAGUCCGAUGGAUAUGGAUACGAGUAUGGAUUUCGUAUUUACCCGAUCCGAACCCGAACCCGACCCGAACCCGAAUAAAUUAUAUAUAUACAUACUUUAUUUUUAUUUAUUUAUAUAAUAUAUAAAAUAUUUAAUAAUUUUAUCCCUAGAUCUUCAUUCAACGGUAUGGAUUUUUAAAAUCCGCCGGUUUCGGAUCUGAGUAUGGGUUUUAAUUUGGUUUUCGGGUUGAGGUUCGGAUUUUUAAAAACCUGAUCCAAAUUCGACUCUUUGACAUCUCUGCAGCACACCGUCGUUUCGAAUUGUGCUACUAUCCAAAUCCUCACUUCUACGAUCGGUGCCGCCACCGUUGGCGGCAGCGGAUAUGUGGGUGAGAUAGCGUAAAGAGUGUGGCGAUGACAUGCGAAUAAUAAAAAAAGAGAAAGAAGAGAAAAGGGAAAGAAGAAGAAAACGAUCAAAAAAAAAAAUCAAAUAUUAAAAAAAAUCAAUCUGAAAAUGUAAAAUGAAAAAAAAAGAGGAUCGGAUUUUGUAAAAAAACAUAAAACUAAUAAUAAUAGAUUUUGUAUGAAAAAAAAAAAAAAAAGCUCCAACUCUCUUACAAAGAAUCAAUUGUCACAACGUGAUAUACCACGGUCACGCCACCCAACCCACCUAAAAAGUGAAAAAAAGGGGCCUGGCUCGUGGCUAGAACGUAGCAAAAACCGAGGCAUUGGGAAGCUACAAAGCCUACAAUUUCGUAGUUAUAGAAACAUGCAGGGGUAAAAAGGGAAAUUUACAGCCGCUUAUCAAUUGAUCUCAUUUGCCUCAAGAGACUCACCAACCAGAUCUACGGUCCCUUGCGAGAAAAAGGUUUCACAUGACCACCCAAAAAAUAAAAAAUAAAAAAUAAAUAAAUAAAAAGACACCCCAACUCAUCCCAAAAAUUAUUGCCUGCACCAGGUGUAUUAAUACAUCUUAUAUACUGUAUUUUUAAAAUUUUGCGACAAAGAUCUUAAAAAUUAAAAUUUAGAAUUUGAGCUCUGUCCUAUGUACUAUAUCCUUAAAACUCUAAUAAGAUCAAAGUUUUUUGAUCUCUCAUUUGGAUGCUGAUAAAAUGAGACUCGAGUAGCUAUUUUUGAAAACAAAAAUAUAAUAGAUAUAUUGGAAUAAAAAAAAACCCAACUCUCCGAGUUAUUAUCUGCAUUAUGUGUAUUAGUACAUCUUACAUACUAUAUCGAUAAAAUAUUAUAAUCUUAAAGUUAAAAUUUUUAUAUAGAAUUUUGAUUAAAAAUUCAGAAAUUAAUCAUUAAUUCGGCGUUUAUAAAAUAGAACUUGAGUACUAAUUUUUUUUUGAAAGAAGUCAAAUAUAAGAUAAUUAAAGUGCAUGGAAUUUCCUUAUACACCCGGUGCAGGAAAUAAUUUCUCCAACUCCUCGCCACUUUUCCCCAUAAAUCUAAGUCUCACUGAAUUUAUGUCUCUCUCUCUCUCUCUCUAUCAAACCCUUCAUCUCCCAUCUCUUCUCCUCGCCAUUGUUGUGGUCGCUGAUGCUACAAAAGCUCUGAAGCUUUGUAUGAUUAGCUACUGUGCAACCCACAUUUCGAGAGAGAGAGAGAGAGAGAGAGAGAGAGAGAGAGAGAGAGAGAGUGAGCACAACCAAUUUUUCUCUUUCUCUCUCAUGGUGAGCAUUUGCUACUUCUUGGUUUUCGCCAUAUCCUGUUUGUGAGAGAGAUUUUUGCUGGAAAUGAGGAAGCAUGGGUGGGAACUUCCUUACCAUCCUCUCCAGGUUUGAUUUUUCCGAUUUUUUUUUUUUUAAAAACGCAUUUUUUCUUUCAUUUUGUAGCUCUGUUUAGGUUGAUUUUUUUUUUUAAUCCUUGUUUUUGAUUUUUUUUUUAAUGUGUGCAGGUGGUGGCAAUAGCGGUGUUUCUGGCUCUAGGGUUUGCUUUCUAUGUGUUCUUUGUCCCCUUUGUGGGGAAGAAGCUCUUCCAGUAUGUGGUGAUGGGGCUCUACACUCCUUUGGUGAGCCAUUUCACUCACUCUAAUGACCCAAUGCCCCUUUUUUCCCUUUUUUACUUGCUAAUUUUUAUAGUUUGGAUCUACCACCCGGUGUUGUUUGAUGGGUUUUUAGUUGCUGCUUUUAGGGUUUCACCAGAUCCAGUAGACAUUGCAGUGAAGUGGGUUUGUCCCGAUUUUUGAUAACUUUUAUAGUUUUCUUUUCCUUUCCAAUUUUUGUUUGUGGAGAAUGGGGGCAUGGGGGCAUUAAAUGCAUCUCUGCAAAAUUAGUUGUCGAAAAUCCUGUUAAAUUCUAUAAACAACCAUUUAUCUUCAAAAGCGUAAGCUACCAGAGAAUGGUGUUUUUAAUAUUACAGUCAACGUCUAGCCUCGUGAUUUUUUGGUAGUCUCAAAACGUAGACGAAUUAUACGGGAGGAAAUUAAAUGAAGCUAGGAGCCUGACAAGACUCAAACUCAGGGCAUGAGCAUCAUGCCCUGAUGCCAUGUUAAAUUAUAUGAAACAAUCAUUUAUCUCCGAAAGCUUAACCUAUCAUAGAACGGUGUUUUUUAUAUUUACAUCUAGCAAAUCAUAUUGCGGUAUUCAUAGAAGCUUAUACCACCUCAUCACAUGGCAGUGUAGUGAAACCUGUGGCUUGAAUCAUGAAAUGCUAAGAACAUAUAAAUAUCAUAAAAUUGUGAAUGAGAAAAAAGGUAUCAAGUUAGGGAGUUUUUCACCGUCAUUCCUAUGUUUGUGCAAGUGUUUUUUUUAAUCAACUAUAUAAUUGCCAAAACAUUAGUGACGUAUAUGUAAUUUAGGCAUGCCAAUGAUAAAGAUUGUACUUCAGAAGUAAUGACCAGAAAUGUCAAUUAAUUUUUGCCUCAGACCUGUUGAUUCUCUAGCCAUGAUCAAAGGCAAGAAGAGUUUUCGUGCAUAGUUUCAUCAUUAAGCUGCUUUUCUCUCUUCUAAUUUGUAUUUUGAGAGAAUUGGUUGUACAUAAUGAGGACAAUUUCAAUUCUACACCUAUUGAGAAGUGUGAAAAGCUCAGAUAGAUUAUUCUUGGACAUUUUUUAAUUUUCUCAAAAAUUAAUGGGCGCAUGCUUGCUAGUUCUUCCAUUUGGUUCGAAAAGAAGGUUUCUCACGCUCUUCAAAGUGGUACCUUUCCUUGCAGUUUUUCUAGCUAAAUCUUAUUUAGCACAAAAUACACGACAAUUUUGGUUAUGUUACAAGUAAGUGCCAAAUUAGGUAUGGAGUUGCAACCAAAACAGAUCCUUUUUAAGUUAAUCAGAAUAUCAAUAUCCUCAUUCCAUUUAUGAUAAUGAGUGCGAAAGCGUCAACAAAUGUUCUGCGAUCUGUUUUUUUAAACUGUCUUUUUUCCUUUUCCAACUGAAUUUGUUGAGUACUUAUUAAAUCUUCUGAUGAAAUGUAUGAUGAAGUCAAUUUGUACCAUUAUAAUGAUGAUAACUAAAGUUAUUUUGUGUACUAAUUACGAUUCUAGCCUCUACGCACAAUAUGUACUGAUAUAUUUGUUCUCCAUCAGAUUACAUGUGUCUUCCUGUUGUACAUCUGGUGUGCCGCAACGGAUCCCGGGGACCCUGGUGUUUUCAAAUCGAAGAAGUAUGUGAAAGAAGUUGACAAUGGAAAACAGACUCAUAAUAAGGAAUCAGGACAAGUAGUUUCAAACAGUGAAUUACAUACGGCAACAACUGGAGAAAAGGCUGUUCCUGAGGGCCUCAGCACUGUUGCUGCUACUGACAAAUCAUAUGAUCAAAAGGAGGGGGAGAGUUCAUCUAGCUGCAGUAGAGCUUUUCUGGCCCUGUUUUUCCUAUGCCGUCCUCUUUGUUUUCUGGGCAAUUUGUGCCAUUCACAUGAACAGUCCUCUGAACAGCAAAUGAGUGAAGACGGCAUGUUUUUCUGCAGCCUAUGUGAAGUGGAGGUAUGUAGUCUGCAUUGAAUAGUUGAUUCUAAGUGAUGUUAUUUUUUGAUCAUUCAAGCUUCGCUUUGCCUCCUUUCCCAAGAUUGAGUAUAUUGGUCAAUGCAAAACCUCAGCAUGUUAAGUUGCAUGAGAAAAUUUCUGAUGAUGAUGCAGCAAAUCAUUAUUGAACGACAAUCAUCACAACAAUGGGAUAAGCUAUUAAAAUCUUGCUGCUUUUAAAAAGGUUCAAUAUAAGCAAAUUUGUGUUAACUAUGGCAAAUGUAUAGUAAUAGAGAAUGUGUAACCCUUUUGCCUUUCAUAGCUAUUAGUUGAUAAAUUAUACUAUCUGAUUAAACAAGUUUUGUGGGUUCAUUGACUCUAGUAUGCACCAAAUUUGGAUUCUAACUGUGUAAAAUGCUCUCUUCCACAUGAUAAUAAGUGGCAUAACUUCUUUGAAGAUAAACCAUUUAACUGCUCUAUGUCGAAUAAAUGUUGUUUGGAUUUCAUAUAGGUUUUGAAGUACAGUAAGCACUGUAGGGUUUGCGACAAAUGUGUUGAUGGAUUUGAUCAUCACUGCAGAGUAAGACCUCUGGUUAUUAUGCUCUGUUCUCCUUUCUUGAGUAUAUAGAAUUAUAAUCUUAUGCUUCUUUCUUUGUAGUGGCUCAACAAUUGUAUAGGAAGAAGGAACUAUAGAAGGUUCUUCAUCCUCAUGAUUUUUGCGCUUCUCUUGGUAAGCAUAAAAAUGUCUUCUACUGUUUAGCUUGUGACAGAUGGAUUGGGUAGUUACCAGGAACAUAACUGUUGCCAUAACCAUGUAAUCCUUUUCUUCCAUUGCAUUAAAGCCCUUUUUCUAUGUCUAGUCCCAACUUGGGAAGGAGAAAUUAUUGUCUGGACCAUAUCUAUAGACCUGAUUAAAAAAAACAGCAUAACUGAUUGCUGAGGAAGCUGUUUUUGGUCCCAGAAAAUAAUUGAAAAAAAUAAAAGAUCCCCUCGUCGGGGUUAUGUGUAGUAUUUUAACUUGCAUUGCCUACAAACGACAUGGUAGACUGGAUACCAGCAAUACUUUCUUGUCGAGCCACUAUUAAAUAUCAUGCUGGCAUGACUUCUGAAAAAACUUCUCUAUAUAUAUGUCAAAAAUCAAGUAUUGGGCAAACUAACCAAGUGAAGCUUUUUGCCAUUGCAGAAAGCCUAAUGAGCUUCCAAGACUAUAAAGCAGAAAAAUACUCUUUGAAGCUUCUAAAUCACAACCCCCCCCCGGCCCCAACAAAAAAAUGAAAAAACUAUUCUUAUUCGAAAGUUUUUCUCAAAUAACACUUCUUCACAAGUUCUUGUGGGGUCAAAGAAGCCUCUUGAGUCAUGCCUGCAGACCUGGCAGUCAAGAAAUGUAGAUAGCAUUUUUGUUCCAUGUCCUUUUCAUUCUGGUUGAUUAUUGACAGGUCAUGGUUUAUGCACAUUGGGCCAGCUUAUACUGGAAUGGUCAGUGGGAGUGCUUGUGCUGAUUCUCUGCUUCCUCAAGCGGAAGGAAUACUCUGCGGAGAUCGUUUCAAAGCUAGGAAGCAGCUUUUCUCUUCUGCCUUUUGUUAUUGUAGUGGUGAGUUUGCAGUGUUUCUGUUUUUCUAUUUCUCAACUAUAUUAUUUGCAUUCAUGUAGAAUUUUCAAAAUUUAGUUGAAUUUGAUACUAAAAUCUAUCCAUUUAUAGAGUCAAAAAAGUUUUUAAUUAGGCCCUUUCAGAAUUGUUGGUUCAACGCUUGAUUGAUAAUAGGCUAUGUUCACAGGCAUCCUGCACCUUACUGGCAAUGGUUGCAACACUACCACUCGCUCAGCUUUUCUUCUUUCACAUUCUUCUUAUUAAGAAGGUAAGUAUUUAUUGUAUUUCAUCUUUGUUGGAACUAUCUAUGAUAUUCUAGUGUACAUUAGCGAAUUCUUACGGAAUGGUUUGUUCUGUAAAAGAAAACUUUUUACAGCCGGAAACUUUUGGCAUUUAAGUUUAGUCUAUAUAGAUUAUGAAAGCAUGUAUCUUGUAAAUCUUCACAUGUAACAUUUUAACUUCCUUAUGUAUACCUCCAAUAGUUGUAACACUGUAAUGGAUAGUAUAGUAGGAAUUGGCUCCAUUAGGCUCCAGCUUCCUCUUGGCUUAAUGAAUAACCUCUACUUUAACACUCAUUAUUUUGAAACUAUAUUACUGUUAUUUCUCUUCUGCCAAUAACUAAAUUUGCUAAUCAUGCGUACACGGGUGCACAUCCAGGGCAUUACUACAUACGACUACAUCAUAGCUUUAAGAGAGCAAGAGCAGCAACAAGAUGUUGCUGGCCACCAAAGUCCGCAGAUGUCUCAGGUGAGCUCUAUCACGGGGCUUAGCAGUGCUAGUUCUUUUGGCACAUUUCACCGUGGCUCAUGGUGCACCCCUCCUAGAUUAUUCCUUGAAGAUCAGGUACAUGUGAAUUCUUACCUUUCUAUCAAUUUUCUUAACAAUAACACUUUCUAAUAUAGACACUACCUCACCUAAAUCCAUUUUCAAUGGGUUCCUGAACUGCAAUUUUAGUAUGUAAGCUUUAAUUUUAUUGUAGAACCUCUCCAAAUCAUCUCUAAACUUAAUGGUCCCACCAAAAAAUUCAAUAGAAUACUACACAAUGUAACAGAAUAGACAAUUAGGGUAAAUUACUUUUAUCAAAGAAAUUGCUAAUACUGUUUACUUCUGACUGAGGUAUUAAUGAUAAGUUGUUGAAUGGAAAAAACUUCAAAAUUUUAUACCCAUUUGAAAAUGCACUAUAGUUUAAACAGCAACUGUAUGCUUCAAAUUUCAUGAGUUUUUGACUAGGCACUUCAUCCUUUGCACACAGUUUGAUGUUGUUCCUCCUGAGAUUGGCACAUCUGUAAAUUCCACUGGAAAGAAGAUAAGGGAAGAAGAAAAACCCAGGAGAAAAGCUGCGGGAACCGUGAAAAUUAGCCCUUGGACUCUGGCCCGUCUUAAUGCAGAUGAGGUUUCGAAAGCGGCGGCAGAAGCAAGAAAGAAAUCCAGAGUUCUUCAACCAAUUAAUAGACGAGAUGUUACUCCUCUUGGCCAUGAAACAGAUAAUAGCUACAGAAGUUCAAGUAACCGAACAAUUCCGAGACCUGAUAACAAAAGGCGAGUGAACAAAAGAGGAAAGAUCCCCACUGAACCGUCUUUCGAACCAUUGGCAAAAAUAUCAGCCAGUGCUACUGAUACGAAUGGCAGUGAACUUGGACCAGAAACUUCGACCAACUUAGCCCCACUCCAGCUUGAAGCGAGAAGUGCUUUUCGACCGAGCAGAACAGCUUCCGCUAGAAAUACUGUCAUUUCUUCUCCAGAAAGUAGCUUGGAGUCUCCUGAUUUACACCCAUUUCGCAUUUCUUCAGGAGCUGAAGAUGCACAAGGUCUAUCUUCGAUGCAGGUUCCAGGAAGUAAUGCUGCUACACAGAAGGGGAUUGAAUUUUCGAGAUCAACUAGUGAUGGGUACGAAGCUUCAGGGGGUGAAGAUAGUGACCGGAUCCCUUCACGAAUUGUUCACAGAUCGGCCAAUUGGGCUAAUGUCAUGCUCAGUUCCGGUCGUGGUGAGAUGAAGAGCGACCAAAAGGGAUCAUCCUCUGGAGGGCUUUUAAGUAACGCUAGAGUGCCCUAAAGGGAGGUGGUAUUUAGUUUUUCUUUCUUUUUGUGUUUUUCUAUUUUUAGUUUCAAGCCUAAUCAAUAGCAAGUCAUGGUGGUUUAUAUGGAAAUCGCUACAAAUCCUGUAUGAAGCUGGAUAAUGGUUCUGAAGGAGGAUACUGUUUAACAAGAAAAAGAAAAAAAAAGGGGGGGUACUUUUUGUUGUACUGGUGCAUCUGGUAUUAUUGCUUGUCUCAGUUAAUGUUAACCAGAUAGCAUUGCCAGAAACAUACUUCUAUUAAUUGUUAUUCCUUUAGUGCUGUAUCUAUGCCGUAUCUGUGACUCAAAUCAGUAUUUCUUCUUUCCCAGCUUUUAAACAAUGUGAUUACUGAGGUAGUUCUUUGUGAACUCUUUUAGAAUUCGACAGCUAUGAUGCAGUAUCUUUUGUUGUCCUUUAUAGUUGUGAUACUUAUUUUCUUUUCAUGUCACAGCUGUGAUUACUGAAACAAAUGUUUUUAGUUUGCUUUUGUGACAUUAUUUUGUUGGAAUAUUUUGCUGAUUAGAGAGGCUGGUUAGCAGCAUUAUUUAAAGCCCUCCUGCUAUUGAGACCAAACGUAUAUUUUUUUAAUGGAAUCAUACAGAUCAUAUUUUAAUCAAACUAGUGCAAUUAGCACAGCAUGUUAUAACUUACGAAAACAAUCAUAUUAUAUUUUUAUUGUGCUUUCUAACCAAAUAAAAAUACAUUACCUUAGAAAGGAGCCUUGUAUUUUAUUCCACAUCUGAUAUGAGCUUGUUUUGCUUGAUCAAAUCUAAUGAUACAUAGCAUGCAACAACCAACAGUAGCUGCUUAGUAUCUAACAAUACCACUGCAAAAAUGCACCUUGCACAAAAUUGUUUAAUAGUUAUGCCCAUGGGCUUCCUCACUCUCAAAAAGGAAUAAAAAAAAAGAAAAAGGUGAAACCAGGCAAUGGUUAAGUUUAAGGAAAAACUCUAUCAACAUCUCCCUUAGAACAUCUCCAUAUAUAGAUGCAGGUAAGGAAUAAUUACAAUAAGCAGCGAAGAAGGGUGUUAUUACAAGGUAUUAGCAUCAUUCAGCUGGUAUCUGAAGUAACUCUCGGAUGCCUUCACAUACCUGUUAAGUGAAAAAUCGAAUCAUCGUCAUGCAUGGAAUCAAAUAAUACUAAUGUUAAUUACCACUGACAACAUUCUGAUUACAAAACCGAAAGGACAUAAUGAAAGAAAUUAAAAUGUUCCAUAUUGAAUUCUGAGGAAUAAUGAAAAAUGCAUACCAACUUGAUCUGCGCUUUGAUGUUUGCAAUAAGGUGUGUAUAUUCCUCUAUUUCUCUGACAUUACAUGAAAAUGCAUAAAGAGAAAAAGCUUAAACAAGAAUGAACAUAGAAGUACUAAGAAAAGGAGAUAAAAAAGGAUGUAAACAAGGGAAGAUGAUGCUGCCUCAUGUUCUCAAGGUAGACGGGGUAAGCAAAUGUAAAAAAUAUCUAAGAUGAGUUCACCAGCUUCUCGAGUUUGCCCCACCACUGUCCGUCAAUGUUAUAAGAAAGCAACAAACUCCCAAGCAAAGUUAAAAACAUAUACUUAGUUCCUCCUCAUAUGCAAAGUACGAUGAAUAACAACACUGUCCUAUUUAAUCAUCUUUUAUCAAUGACAUGCAUCUCUGUCUCCCUGUCCUGUGUAUGCAGUGUUAACUAAACUACAAAGAAUUUGAUCACUUCCAAUUAAGAAGGUUGCAUUACCUGGCCAACCUUGCCUCCCUCACUGAGAUGAACUCCAGUGCUUCUGACCAAGUGAAUUCUACAUGAAAACCCAAACCAAUGUCUACAAAUAUGCGGCGUGUAUCAGGCCUGCACAAAUGAUCAUAGAGAAGAAAUAUAUCGCACUCAAAUAAAAUAAACAUGAUCCGGUUAAAAGAUAAAAUACAACAGAGUCAGAGAAAUCAAACAUUUGCUGCACAGGUUUUCAUGAGUUACACAACAUCUUACCUAUCUGAAGAUGAGUCGCCAACAAUUAAUAGUUUAAUGUACCAACAUGUUUAUGUGAAUUAGAAGAGCCAGACAUAAUUUCUCGUGUAAAUUGAGUCCAUGAAAUCAAAGUAAAAUGAAGCAAGGAGCCGAAAUUUACUUCAAAGCAAAAGUAAAACAACAAUGGUUUGAUAAAUUACAGAGACUGGUUCCAUGAGAUACAUUGCAUGCGGGACAUGAAGACAUGAUAUAUAUUACAUCUCUUGAGGCUGACUUGUUGGCCCCACAUGUACGCAUAACAAUUGUGAGUUUAUAAAGUUUCUCAAAAGACUACUGACCUUGAGAAUUGCAAUGUGGGAGUAGAAAAAGUUUAUGUCAUUACCCAGUACCCUCCUGGUUUGUUGAGUGCCCAAGAAAUAAAGAAACAUGAGAACAUUAACUGGUUUCAGUGUAAAUUUUUGGUGCUGAAUAACAGGUGAAUUUCUGAUUUGCUUAUGCAACUUCUACAACUAAGUAAUAAACUAAAAAACUUAAAUCUUUACGAAUAACACACUAUUACCAGUGGAUGACAUCGGCGCCAAAUAAAAUAAACACAAACUUUCGACCUUUGGUCCUUCGACCCUUCUUUUCACAAAUUUUUUGCAUAACUAUCCAAGAAACUUUGUAGAAGUAACUAAGUAGAGAUCUGUCGAGUACUAUAUCCACCAAUUUAAUCUAAAAUCCCUAUUAAAAUCAUGAUCCUAAGUCUACUUGGUUUAAAUUACUUAUGUUGAUGAGCCCACUGCUAUUAAACUGCAUAUAUCAAGUCCAUCAAGUGAUCAAAUCCAAACCCAGUGCACUAAACUGAAUCAAGUUAAACUACUAGAAUCAUUUUGACCCCUUUUAAAUGCUCUAAAUUCAAUAUACAUAAUUGUUUUGUGUCCAAGUUUUUACCAGAAACGACAAGAAAGUAAUUGGACUGCCCGAAUGCUAUAGGGAAACAAAUAAAAUAGCUGGAAAGUAAAUCGAAUUGAAUUUGAGAGUCCUUACACGUCUGCUUGCAUGUAAACUUCAGAUCCGAGAUUGACCAUGGACUGAAAGGAGGUCACCCCAUUCUGCUCUAGGUUCUCAAUGUUCCGCUUCAGAUCGGAGCUAUCAUCUCAAUACCGAUACAGUUUCGGAGGUCAAGUAAACACAUUAAGACAGACAAUAAGCAGAUCGAAUUGGCAAGCCGAUGAGCAAUAUUAAGAUAAAGAAAAGGUAAAAACGUACAGAACUUACCUAAACUAUGGACCAUGUUGAAACGACUAGCUAAAUUUUGAUUUGACUACCCAACCUUUCAAUCUGUUCAAUAUGAGUUAGCCAACGGUACUUUUGACUUCAAAAGUUAAGUUAAUUAUUUAUUUUAAUGAAUUUAUAGUUACGAAAAUGCAUGGAGUAUACUAACUAAACAUGAAAAGAUAAAUGAUGCAUUCAAAUUUUGAAGUCAAAGUGCCGCUGACUGACUCAAAUCAAACAAAUUAAAAGAUUGGAUACUAAAAUCAAAAUUUUUCAAGAUUGGGUAGCCAUUUCAAAAUGGUCUUCAGUACGUUUUUACCUAAACAAAAUUGCUUAUUUAUCCCUCCAAAGUAGUGAAAUCAUGGAUUUGACCCUUAAAAGUUUUAAUUACCACAUAUAUCCCUCUAAAGUCGAAGAGUAAUAAUAAUCGACUUUUCUCUAUAAAAAGGCUAUUCCAUCCUUGAAUAAAUAUCGUUUUAUUAAAUACUUUCACCAUCACCCUCCAUUUCUAAGGCCUAUAUUCUAUCUCUCAUGCCACCUAUGUAAACCCUAAAUCCUAAAUCCUUUUAAAAGUUUGCACAUUUUUUAAAACUUUGCAUAGAAGUAUUCAAGAAGCAAAACUUUCUAGAAAUAAAUCCGUAAUUUCCAAACUUUGCAAGAAAAAAGGAUACAAGACCUUUUGCUGCUGAAGCACCUUAUCCCUGUUGCAAAUUGUUAAAUUAUAUAAAAUAACUUUUUUCUUCAAAAGCUUAACCUACUAGAUAAUGAUGUUUCUCAAAAUUUAUAAAUAACAUUCCUCUUCGCAUAUGGACCGGAGACUACUUUUUGAUAGGCCCAUGAUGUGAAUUUGAAUUAAAUUGAAGAAACUUAAUUAUGCUAAGAGCCAGGCGGCACUCAAACUCAGAACCUCUGAACCUCGAAAAGAGCUUAGGGGGCGUUUGGUUCGUCAUAAAAUGAACUGAAAAAUUAUUUUCGAUAUAAAAAAUACUUUUUCGCUUGUUUGAUUCGACGUGUACAGAUUUGGGAAAAAUUGAAGCUUUCGUUUUCCGUUAUUUUUCUGCAGAAAACGAAACUCAAGCUGCGUAAAAUUUUUUUCAUUCAUUUUUUUUUACCAAACAAAACAAGUGUGGAUUUUUUCCUUCCAACCAAACAAAUGUGGAUGAAAAACUAUUUUUUUUUCUACAAACCAAACCAUACAAAUAUUAUUUUUUACAAAAAAUUAUUUUUCACGAUUUUAUGUUAAACCAAAAGGAUCCUUACGGUAUCAUAAAACAGUAUUUUUAAUAUUUAUAUUCAACACAAAUAAAAUAAUAAAUAAUAAUCGGGAUUAAAAAAAAAAGAAAAAAGUUUUUUGAUGGUUGCAUAAUGUGUGUGUGUGUGAGAGAGAGAGAGAGAGAGAGAAGAGAGAGAGAGAGAGAGAGAGAGAGAGAGAGAGGGGUGGGGAGUAGAAGCGACCGUUGGGCGAUGGCGUUGACGAGAUCGGGCUUGAGGCGGCGGUCAACGAACCCCUCGAACUUCUCGACCUUCUCUUGGCGGAGGCGGAUCUCGUCCAUCGCCGAUCGCCUCGCCCGUCGCUGCGCCGGGGAUCGAUUGCUAGGGUUUUGGGAUGGUAGCAGGAUUGGCGGAGAAGUAGUAAUAAGAGAUGACACAAAGCAGGGUUUUGCUGCUGCGGACGAGGGAAUCACGUGUCGGAUAGUUACUACAGUACCGGGUUCGGAUCAUAUUAACGGGUUAAUAAUUGGUUCGUCUCUUCCAUCGUUUACGUUGGGGCGGGGCCCACAUGUCAUCCUGCUAACCGGAACAUAUAACCGCGCCGUCGCGAACGCGCACCGUGUGGUAAUCGCAAAUAACCGUGUCGCGAACGCCAUGGGAGGGCACGAGGCGGAGCCCGCGGCCUCCGCCGGGGAAGGAGACGCUAAUCCCACCCCGGCGCCGGAGCCGGAGAAGUCGCCGGAGACGGACCGCCCCGUCGUUGCUGGAGGAGGAAGAGGAGGAGGAGGAGGAUUUGAUGAUGAUUGCUCCAUCUUUCCCCCAAGCGAGCACGAGGGCCUCUUCCUCCACCCCGACCCCUACAAAACCCUAGCGCGCAUCUCCAAGUCCUCUUCUCCGCUCUCGCGCGGCGGCAAGGAGGAGGAGGAGGAGGAUGCGGUGGAUCGAGCGAGCUCGGUCGCGACGGGGCUCUUGGACGUGGCCCGGCGCGUGAUGGGCGGCGCGAGAUUCGAGGCGAUCCACUCCAGGAUCGGUCUCCGCGGGGGCGGAGGAGGCGCGAGAGGUGGGAGACGUGGUGGUGGAGGUGGCGGAGGGGUUUGGUCGAUCGCCGCUGCGGUAGGGUUGAUGGGGAUUUUGAUGUACAUGAGGCGAAGGGAUCGGCAGGAGAGGGAUCUCCUCCUCCUCCUCAUUAAAGAGAAGGAGCAGGUAUGCUUGUGCUCGCUAUCUUCUGAAUCUGUUCUCUUUCAAUCUCUGAAUUGAUCUAAAUUUGUGGUACAAUUAGGAUUUAGUCCCCGCUUCAAUAUACCUGCAUCUUGUAUGCAUACUAAUAUAUAUCGAUUAAGGAGAUGAAUGGUGAUUUCGAUUUAACGUUGCCGUCGCAGUGAUGAUAUUUCCACUUAUCUUCGUUUCAUGGUAUCUUCGGUAGCCUCUUCAAAUGCUGCAGAAGUGCUGUUCAGUAGUGCUUUUUGAAGAAACUCAGAGAGUUUUUCUUCAUUAGAAUCUUCACAAAAGUUUCCUCCUAUAGCAGAAGAUAGAGAAUCAAGCUUCUGCUUUCGAAAGUUUAAUUUGCUUGCUUAGAUGCCUAGAAGCUUCAAAAACUUUGCUUCGUUAACUAGGAAUAUCUCCAAACAAUCCUUGACUGAUUGGUGUUCAAUUCAACUACCUGUGCCCUUGACAGGCAAGUCGCAGAAUAAAAUUUGCCAAAUCCUAAUAUUUCCGUAUAGAAGAACUAGGAAUCAAUUAUGACAUUUUGUCUUGAGCCACUUCUUGUUUAUAGUGAAACCCUAUUAUUAGAGGAAGUUAUCUAGUCUCUGCCAUGAACAGCAAAAUAGGAAACAACUAGAAGCAAAAGGAAAGAAAACAGAAUAUUUGUGAAAAACUUGCUCGGCGAGAGACUUUUAAGAAGAGAAGUAAAUAGGAAGGCCUAUCUGGUUGAGGAAUCUGAUCUCCUGAAUUUCUGGGGGGCAUCAUAUAUCACCUCUGACCUGGGAUUCCUAUCCCGAAAAUCCCAGUACUUAGAACAAUUUGUGUCUUUCUUUAUUGCACUGCAGAUUGAUCUUUCUCUAAUUGUCUAACAAGUUUCUCUCAACCUAUCUUAACAUCACAUUUAUCCAAUCAUGCCCUUCACGUUUUCAAUGAUACUGGUCUUUGCCCUGACAAUAGGAUGCUGGAUAGUACACAACUUAUAGUGAUAAUGUCAAAACAAAAUUGUAGAACUUAUGAUGGGGUAUCACUGUAAAAACAGCCAUCGAUGAUUAGUUUUGAGUUUUUAAUUGAAGUGAAAUCGGGCUAAAUAGGGUCGUCUCAUGAACACAUGAAGUCUAGUUGCUGAAAGUUGAUACCUCGUCAUCUCCGUAUACAAAUGAACCAAAGGAUCAAAUAAAACUAAACCUAUUGCAUGCUUUCAUUUUGCAUAUUAGUACAUAAAGUGGUUGUUAUUGACUAUGUAAGUAUGGUUAAUUAGUUCAUCAGUUUGUAUAUUCUAAAAAUAUGAACGUUUUCUACCCCUGAUUGUCAUAUCUAAAUAAGGGGAUGCACCUUGAGAAAAUGGACCAGCUUAGGAACAAAUCGAAAAAAUCAAGGCCUGACCGGAAGAAAAGAAGACUGCCUAAAUUCCUACUAGAUCUCCGACUGCAUACUGUGUCCUAUCCUAGCACAAGAUAUUAGGCUAUCGUUUGUUCGCAUUUCAUCAGAUAGGAUUGGAUCGAGUUGAGUAGGCAGUGAGAAAUAUAGAUGGAUGAUAGUGAAAGGUAGAAGACGCUUGAUGGUGAUAGCAAAUUUGACUAACAUCAAACCAAUCUCAUCAAACAAAGAAGAAGAUAGCAUAAAAGAUCAAAGUACUAUCAUUGAGGUGCAGACCUCAUUUAUAUAGCAUGAACUUUAGGCUCUGGAAUAUGUUUUUUUUUUACCCACAGCUUGGCUUUUAGGGGAGAAGGUAGAAAUUGAAAUAGAGAAACAGGCAGAUAUCGAAACAGAGAAACAGGAAUAAUGUGGCGCUUAAGGGUAUGUUUCUGUAGGUUUACAGCUUUCAGGCAGGGGGGACGGAACGUAUGUCGCAUUACAAUAUGCCAUUUGUCUACUUGCACCCAUUGAUUGUACUUGUCAGAGUAACUGUAAGCAUUAGAUGGUGAAUACUGCAUUUUCACACUGUAAACAUUAGAAGCAUGGCACUAAUGGCAUUCUAUUCUUUGUGAACAUUUUCGGAAAACCUUUUGCCCGUUGCUUACUUGCUUGUUAAGGCAUUUCCUUCUAUGUGAAACAUUUUUGGAUAAAAGUUUGUCCGCUGCUAGCGUUAGUUUAAGGAAAAGGUCUUCUUGUUCAUCAGUCUGCUCCUUGCUUACUCUCGUCAAGUGGUUGGAGGUUGCAUUUGCUAUUCAUCCUCUUCAUAUCCUUAAUGUCGAAUCACCGUUUUGUUUUUUCCAAUAGGCUAUUCUUAUUUGAUUUUUGCAUUGUUUUUUGGCAGAUGAUAGGCCAGCUUCUGCAUCAAAUCGCUCUUAUGAAUGAAGUUUCCACUGUUAGGAAGUCCUGAUCUCUUUUACCAUGGUGAUAGUAGUUCAGUAAAGAACUGCAGCUGCCUAGUAUUUUUCCUGCUUAUAUAACUAGCAAAUUCCUUAGAGAAAUUUUGUAUUAGUCUUUUCUCUCUUGAAAAAAAGAAAAGAAAAGAAAAGAGUGACUGUGAGUCCAUCAUAUAUUUGAUACGAACUCUUUUUCUUUUUUUUUUUCCCCCUAUGGCUCUUAGAUAGGGUGUAUUUAUGUCUGUGCCUGAUAAAAAAUUGGUAAUUUUAAAAAUUUUUAGUCCCUGAUAUUUGGUUGCAUUUCGUGGCUUAUUUAUCUGUUAAUAAAUUUUAUUAGUUGGCAUAUUCUGAUAAGCCAAUUUUCCCUGGCAUUUUUAAUGCAUGUUCCUAUUUUCGGGAGGAGCUGCUCUAGUCAUAGAGCAAGCAAGGGAGGGUAGCGGUCAGUCUCUUAAGUGCACUUUCUUUUUAGUUUGAGAAACAAAACAAGGUCAGGCUUUUGUUUUUUUUUUUUUUUUUUAAAUCCUAUAUUUAUCAAGUCUUACGCUGGGCUGUUUGGUUUGUAGAAAAAAUUUAUAUUUUUUAAAAUAUAUAUAUAAUUUUUCCUUAAUUUUUCGUUUGCUUGGUUUCAAAUUAUUUUUUCACAGUUUACAAAAAAAAUUGGUGUUUUUAUUUUUUAAAAAAUUUAAAAACGAAAAUACUAGUUUCUUAUAAUUUUUUUUACAAUUAAAAAAAAAAAAAUUUUUUUUGAACUAAAGAGGUGGAAAACUGAAAAGGAGGUUUCUUGAAAGAAAAGAAACAAUCCAUACGUUCUGGACAAUCGAACUGCCCCUAGGCUGAUUCUCUUGCGUAACUUCACCAAGCAAGGAGGGCAACUCGGAAUACAAGCCGAAUGCAAUCAAAUACUAUGUGAAAUCACUGAGAAAAAAAAUCCGCUCAGUAUAACGAAAUCAAAUACAAAAUUAAAUCACUGCAAAACAUCUACUCAGAAAUCCAGCAACAUAAGGUGACCGCUAAAAGAUUAUAGAUCAUAGGUACAAAGCAUCUUAUGCAAAAGCAUAAGGGCAUCUUCACCGAAAAGAAUUGAAAGAAAAAGACUAUAUCAUGCAACAAGAGCACAAAUAUACAUUAGCGGUCCAUGCACAUAAAACGUCCGUCUGAUCUAACGACAUUUCCUUAUCUCAAAACAGAGAGUAGAAGUCGAAAAGCUUACAAGCUGGUAUUUUCUUUGGCAGCGAAAGCAGUCGCCACCAAACAACAAUUAGAAGUCUAUCUCAUUAAUACCCACUUUGAGGUCAUCUUACAAAGAACAAUCUUGUCUAGAGGCGAAUGUGACAGGUGUACAACUAGUAAGAAACACUACAUGUUCUAAGGCGGCACCAACAAAAAAAUUGGUCUAAAAAGUGAAAAGUACUUUUGAUUUGCACAAAAUCCUUGUGUAGUAUGUCCCUUAAAUCUUCGGCGCUUCGGCUUUGGCUGUCAACAACUGCAGCUACACUGGUACUCGUUUGCCUCGAUAGCGAUCAAAGAACUGAAGCAACAUUACAGAAAAUUUAUUGAGACAUAUUUUAACAAGUAUAUGCAGUUUCAGCAGGAAACAAUUCAAAUAUUUUAUAGCUCACACUGAGUAAGAUAGUUUAAAGUAUGUCAUACCGAUGUUACAAAUGGCUGUUGGAAAAGCCAGCCAAUAACAGGAAUCCUCUGCAAGAAGACCGCGAGUGUGGGCCAGAAACCACUGCCAGGUAAACCAAGUCAACAUGAGUGUUAGUGAUGAUAUAUAUACGGCAAAUCAAGUAACAGAUAACAUCUAUAUAAAUAUCAGUAGUAACACUGCAGCAAUAUUUAUGGAGUCAACUCUAUAACAGUGGUAACACUCGUUGAACGGAAAGAACAUGUAGAGUCAUCACGUCUAAAGCUGGUUGAUAUCUAGAAAAGGGAAAAAAUGGAGACCCCCUUUGGCCCCUACUCUUGUUGCGUUGUAGCUAAAUAGCACUUUACGACCACGUUGUUCAAAGUGUAACACUUUGCCACCCCAUGGUUGCAUUUGAGUUUCCUUUAGGAGCAUCAGGGAUUGUGAAAUUGCCAUAAAAACUAGGCUUGUGACCAUUACGUGACUUAUUUGACUACUAAAAAUCACGAGAAUCAAUGAGACUAAAGGAAUUAAAUCUUUAUAUACAGCAUUUUAAUGCUCACAUAAUUGCACCAAGUUCGGCAUUUUGACAACAGUUCGUUACAGAAAGCCAGGACGGGCCGAAGGUUGCUAAACAAAAAUUGGGCUAUAACGCAAUGGGUGUUUAUAAAGUUUCCCGUCCAUAAACAUUUAAAUGAAGAAAAAAAAAUCAAACUAACCUGAAAAGCACGAUGAAACCAUAUGACUCCAAAAUCAUGCCAAAUACUGGCCAUCCAAUCAGGACCAGAAAAAAGCCAACUCCAAAUGAGAUAGUACCCUGUUCAAAAUCAGCAAACCCUUAAAAAAGUACCCACAGGGAACAAAGGAAACUAUUAGAUCGACUUAUGCAGACAAGCAAACCUUGUAGUUCUUACGCUUGGUGAAGAAUUGCAUGGUGGAUUUCAGCCCUAUGGUCAGCAUCACACCUGACAGGAAAAGGAUCUGAUGUGGUCCAAACAAAACAAAACAAUGCAUAUCAUAUUCAUUUCCUCAGUAAAGCCACCAGAGAACAAGUUGUUAAGGGAUAGCUUACAUUUCCCAUGGCUAGGAGACCCUUAUCAAAGAAGAACAUGAUCCCCAAGAAUGAGAAGAAUAUUCCAAAUCCUGUCAAACCUAGCCCAAUCUCUGGUCCAGACGAAUUUUGACAUAUUAGUGAUAGUUGCCAAUGAAAUUGAAACAUUAAUGAAAAUGUGACACCCCAAUAGUCCCACAUCGGAUGAAAAUGGACUUAUGAUUAGGUAUAUAAGAGAUCAUGGACGCUAGUAAUAAUAACUGAGCUUAAGCAUUUUGGACCGGUGGUUUGGGCCCAACGAGUUAUUGUUGCUAUUGGGCCGGGUCAUCACCGAAAACAAGAUAAUUACUUUAACAUUAUCAUCAUAUAAUUUCUGUAUCUAAUGCUGCAUUAAUGGUUUUGAACCCUAUGUGAGCCAAGUCACAAAAUAAUGGAGAACAAUAAAAUAUUUGCGCUAAACAGUUCAUGAGCACAUUAAUUUAUCAGCAAGAUGGACAACAGGAUUAAAGUAGGAUUGAAAGGUAUAAAAUUAAUAAGAGUAGUCGCUCAAAAAGUCAAAAAGAAAAGCCUUAGUACUCUAUCCAUCUCAACUAGAGAAACUAGAAAAGGUUGAAAAAAAUGUUCAAAUGUUUAAAAAGAGCAUACUGCAUCCAUCCUGAAUAUUAUGAUUAACAGAAAAUACUAUUAAAUAUUUCAUAACAUGCAUUAGACAUAGAACUCAUACUUUUCCGAUCAUUCAUCUCAAAUGAAACCAUUGUGCCAAGCUAGAGACAAACUAAGAAGCCAGUGAGCAACAAGACAACCUGCAAGAAAGAAAAGUUUGUGUCAAGUCUAUUUAUUUUAAAUCCAGAAGAGUUCUAAAUUCUGAAAUCAGAAGUAUAAGCAACUUCAUGGAUAGAUAUGUAAAUAGUUGUCAAGACACAUUAGAAUGCAGGUUCUAAAUGGACUUUUUUCGAAAAUAACCCUGUAAAAUUUCGUAUUUGCCAAACUAACCCUGUGAAAUUUUUAUUUGUGAAACUAACCCUCCUCUCGCCACGUGAGCGCCACGUCAGGGAUUCCUCAAAAAGACGGUGAAUCGUUCACCGUCUUUGAUAUUUGUUGUGAAGGCGGUGAAUGGUUCACCGUCUUCAUAAGACGGUAAACCAUUCACCGUCUUUAGUACAAAUCCCUACACUGUGCAAAUCUUUCCAAGUCCAUCCAUAAUAUGGUGUCCUUGAUAAGACGGUGAAUCGUUCCCCGUCUUCUCGAGGGCACAGAAAAGGCGGACUUGAGAGGGUGGAGAGGGUGGAAAGGGAAAGGACGGAAAUGGGAAUUUUGCACUAAAGGCGGUGAAUGAUUUACCGUCUUCUAAAGACGGUGAACCAUUCGCCGCUUUUAAACAAAAAUUACAAAGACGGUAAAUGAUUCACCGUCUUUUUGAGGAAUCUCUGACGUGGCGCCCACGUGGCGAAAGGAGGGUUAGUUUUACAAAUAAAAAUUUCACGGGGUUAGUUUGGCAAAUACGAACUUUCACAGGGUUAUUUUCGAAAAAAGUCCGUUCUAAAUUAUUAAUGAACUAUCAUGAACUUACAAAGUACUUACGCAGUAAUAUCACGGAUUAUAUCUUACAGCUUAGUCACAUAUUUGAUAUUCACUUUUCAUCUACCAACUAUUUAGGAUGAUAGUUACCCUCAUUGGUAGAACAAAUUUUGGCAACUCAGUGCACCGACAGAUAAAAAGCACUUGCUGGUAAGUAGAGGAGAUCUUAGUAGCAGGCCUCCUUAAACUGAAGGAGAUCUUAGCAGCAGGCAUCGCAAUGCACCUACAGAUAAAACUUUCCUACUUAGGAACUUUUAUAAGUCCAACAACUCCUACUAUCUCUUCUUAAGCAAUUUCCAAUUUAAGAUGAUACAAUUUAUGCAGUCCUGAUAUGGUCUUAACAACCUAACAUCUCAACCAAGAACCACUCGUGCACCACUCUAACAAAUGAAUUAGUUCUCAUUGUUCUAGUGAAAAAACCUACAGUAACUGCAACUUGUCUCUAGUUCUUUUUCCCCAUUCCCAGGCUUGUAUAAAGUAUAUAUUUAUCUUUCAACUCUAACUAGUUCGAUUUGCAUUUUCAACUCUUAACUCUUCUUGUGUUAUAUUACUUCUUUCUCUCUGUUUCUAACUUUUUUUUAUUUUGGUGGUUCUAAUAGAGAUGAAUGUACGCAAUAUUAAACUACUAAUCUCAGUAAUCUGGUGGACAGGAAGAAUCUAUUGCUGCCGAUUUCUUGGUCUUCAUACUUUUUCCUUCAUUUACUUCUGCUUAACACAAACAAAGAUAAAUUGAUAACGAUUUCAAUGUUAUAACUUCUCCAACUUAAACAUUAGCUUUGCCACCUCGAAUUAGCCGAUGUAGAAGUUUCUUUCCCCUUUUUUUGUUUAUUGAAUCUUGCUUCUCUUCUCUCCCCUUCUACAUCUCGAAUCGAUAAUUAAGUAGAAUGUACUCAACAUCUAGUUACAUCAAAAUAUGUAUGCUGUUCUCAUAAUUCACAUUUCAAAGACGAAUUCAAUUAUCUGGAUAAUCACCCCAAUUAUCUCAUCUCAAGACCUUGGAAUAUCCAAUCCCUUACUGGAAAAAUUUUGGAUCCCCUGAAAUCACUCCAAUUAUAUAAUCUCAAACACAUGUCUAGGUUCUUCAAACGUAACCAACUGAAAAAUGUAACACACACUACAUCAAGUGAUAUCUCAUUCAUAUGGUUCAACAAUUUUAAAUAUACACUAACAAGGGUUUCUCAGAUCAAGAAUGCUCCAAGAAACAUGUAGAUCAACAAUUCAAUUGAUUACGUAAUGUGAGCAGUGAUUUUAUUGGGAUCAGAAACUUGAGAAGUGAAUCAUCGAAUCAAUUAACAUACUACACCUCAAGGCUAAUUAAUUUUCUCCCUAAAUAUGAUCUUCUCAUCAUUCAAAACCAAAAGAAUUCGAUCUAAACAAAUCAAAAACUCGAAUAUACCAAAACAAAUCACCAAAUCACGAAGCCCUCGGAUCCUUCAAGCAGGUCAUAUGAAUCAUUAAAAAGAACGUCAAAAGAGGAACUACGAUCAACUGCAUCAGUAAUCAAACCCUAUUUAUCGAAGCUUCGGAUCGAGAUAGAGAUCGAGCGAUCGAGAGAUCGAAAUAGAGAGAGAGAGAGAAGAACCGGAUUGGAUCGACAGUGAUGGGGGUUCGGAUCGGAGGAUCGGACGGUGGAGAACGGCGGUUUACGGGAUCGCUCCGUCACCGGAGAAGGGAUGUUAGGGUUGGGGCGCACGUGGAGCGGUGGUGCCGAUGACUCCGACUCAGUGACAGAUCAGAGAAGGGAAGGGGUGGGAAAUUAUAUUAAUUUUAUUUUCAUUAAAAUGGAUUUUUUUUCUUUUUUUUUUCCUUUUUUUUGUGAGCAAAUUAUACAGUGUAGUAACUGAAUGUAGAAAGAGGAGAACGUGAUGAAUCACAGACCACAAACUCGAGUGUCGAGUGAAUCUCGACCGUCCACUCCAUGCACUCUAGCUCAAAUUUUGUUUAUCGAACAAACUCUUCACUUAACUCUUCCAAAUUUUUGCCCCAAUAUUUUACUGAAAAAAAUUAUUUAUUAUUAAAAAUAUGUGUAUUAUUUGGUAUAGAGAAAUGUUAUUUGUUGUUCAUUUAUUGUCUCUCAUUCUAGAAUUUAUAAUUUUUUAAAUUUUUAGUAUUUUAAAAAAAUUAAUAAGGCUAAAGAAAAAAAUAAUUUUUAGAUGGAACAAAACUUCAAUGAGGAGCUCCGCAACAACGCCUGAUUAGAAAGGCUCGAUCUAGUACGACGACGUGUGUCAAUUUUAUUUUCAUGCAUGAAUUAAUUGAAUAUUUUUUCCUAAUAAAAUUUCAACAAAAAUUUAAAUUAUAAAAAAAAAAUUAUAAUUCUUGAAUAGAGCCAAAAUUGACGGGCUGGUAGAGUUUUUAUAAUUAAUAAUUUUUUCCGUGAUCGUUCAACUAACUUUGAAGUACAUAAAAGACUCAAUUCAAUAAUCAGUAAUUAAUAUAUUAUAUUAAGAUUAGAUGUCAGGCCUUUGGAAUCAUGGUGCAGAGUGCAAACUAUAUUUUGCUUAUAACCAAUAAACUACUGCAGUUGAAAGGUGAAACUGUAUGGAAACCCCUUAAGUUUAGACUAUUUUGAAACUAGUGCCGUAGCUGUGUAGCUUUCGUUGAUUAAGAUAUCUUAAAAAAUUUAAUUUAAAUAAAUUAUUAAGUUAAAAAUAGUGCAUAAUUCAGAUAAGCGGUGUACACUUUUACCUGCAUUUCUGCAAAUCUCUUUCAAACCUCUGCUACAAAGUACAAUCGAUUAUAUCAAUAACUGUGUUCGUUCGUUCAUUCAACAAACCACCCGUGCAAAACAAGGGGAAAAAAAUAUUUACAACACCAACCGCUACACAAUCUCAAGGUACAAAAUCAAUCAUCAUCAUGAACUCACCGCUUCUGUUGCUGUUGCGUCGACGAGAUGCAGCUCCACCUCCUCCCUCCACUCCACCCACCGGCUCUCGUAGUACCCGCUCUUAACUUCGUUCGGAAAGUNACCCGCCACGUCACCGCCCCCUCCCCGACCCCCGCCUCGUCACCCGCCGCCACCACCGCUCCCGCCUUGGUCAGCGCCCGCCCGGGCCCACCGCACCGCCGUCGCAUCCCGGCGCGUGGGUCCCCACCGGGGCCAGCCCCCGGCGUCCACGUGGCAACCUCGGCCCCGGUGGCGAAGUCGCAGAGGACGCCCUCGAAGACCGCGGCGGCGCCCUCGGCGUCCUGGUCCCACCGCCAGCUGCGCCCGCGCGUGCGCGCCGCCGCGCGGGCCUUCGCCUUCACCCCCGCCGCGCGCUUGGUGGGGCCGCCGCCGCUCGCGAAGCUGCCCUUCACGGUGCGGGUCGUCUCCACCUCGCGCUCCGGGUUCCCGGUCGACCGGCCCAGGCUCGGCCCGGUCGCGUAGGCCGCGCCCGGCUCGGGCCCGACCCAGACCCGGAUCCGCGACGGGAAGUGGCGCUCCCCGUCCACGUCGUCGUCGUCGUCGUCGGUUUCCUCCUCGUCGUCGUCGUCGUCGUCGGUUUCCUCCUCCUCGUCCUCCUCGCGGUGGUCGUGGUCCCCUCGCGUGCCGCAGCCGAGGCGCGCCACGUGGACGCGUAUGUUGACGACGCGUACCCCGACGAGGAUGAAGCGCGGGUCGCGCAUGGAGACGGAGUACUCGAGCUGGACCGCGGCCUCGAGCUGCUGGUGCGCCAGCGCGUACCGCAGCGCCGCGUCCUUCGCGUCGUGCGGCGGCGCCGCCUCCUCCGCGGUGGAGCAGCCGCGGACGCGGGCCAUGGCGGGGACGGGGGCGAAGCCCCUGAGGAGCCAGAGCCCGUGGGCCUCCGCGGCGUAGGCGAAGCAGCAGCAGCCGCGGCGGCGGCGGCGGCGGGGUCGCGCGGGGGGUAAGGGUAAGGGUGAGGGCGAUGAGGGCGAGGGUGAGUCCCCCUCCCCCUCCCCCUCCUCCUCCCCCAAUCCGAAUUGGAGGCGGCGGAGGAGGCACCACUUGGCGAGCAUGUAGCCGAGGGAGCGGGCGCAGCGCUCCUCGAGGUCGGGGCCCGCGGCGCGGAGGAAGGCGCCGAGGGCGCGGGCGCAGCGGCGCGGGGCGCGCUCCAGGGAGGGGCCGAGCGCGCGGAAGAAGAGGAAGCCCGCGUCGGCGGGGGCGUCCGCGGCGCAGAGCCAGAAGAGGCGCAGCAGGAGCGCCAGCUCCAUAAAGGCCGCGCCCUGCUCCCGCGCAGCGUCGAGCGCCUUCGACACGGGCUCGGCGGCGAGCCCGACGGAGGGGGCGGUGGUCGAGGGGGAGAGGGAGAUGGAUUCGGCGAGGAGCUGGUGGAGGAGGAGGAGGAGGAGAUGAGAGGAGAGAGCGGAGGGGCGGAGAGCCAUAGAGUCGGUGGCGGAGUGAGGACGGAGAGGAGGAAAGGUGAGGAGGGGUCGCAUGGGCGGUGCGGUCGGCGAGAGGAGGAUGGAGUGGUGGUCGGAGGCGGCGAGACGAGGGACGCGGGCACGAGGGGAGAUACGAGGGCAGCGAGGCAUCCACGACCACACCUCCUCCAUUUCUCGACAGAUUUUUUUUUUUUUUUUUUUUUUUUUGUGUGCGUUAAGGAGCGCGCGGGAGGAUAAAGCUCUAACUUAUUAUACAAAAAACAAACCCACCGACGCCUAGGGAGGGGAAUGGUUUGGUUUCGGCCACACGAGGGUCUUACUCUUAUGAUUGCUAGCUAUCCUUUGGAAUGGUGCUUUAAGAUUCGGGAGUUUCUGUUCAAUUCUAUUCCACGGUGGGGGAUUUCACUUGUUCCUAAUAAAAGGAUUAGGACGUAUAACGACUCAGUAUAACUUCAAUUGUAUUUUAUCGAAUAACACUAUAUCACUAUAUCGUACAGCUUUAGAGCCAAAGUGGCUUGCUUCUUCCCAUCAUCUCCGUCAACGACUCUGACGCCGAGAAGCGUAAGGCUGUGGCGGCUCAUGACUUGAUCUUGGCUUUCCUAAAUUGGUCGAUCGCAACGGAGGAGAAAGAGUUGUGAGAGAUUUACUCCCUAAUUUCGUCCAUUUGUUUAGUUUUAGAUGAUUAUUUAAUCAUACUUAGGCUUAUUCUUUGACUUGACCGGGUUGUUGUAACUUGAAACCUCCGCUCAAUAGACUCAAUGAUAAGAAGUAGAUAGUUAAUUAAAGGCGCGGGAUCCUUGAUCAUUUCCAGCGACCAGAUAACUAAAACGCUGACUUUUUGUUCCUUGGGGAGGUAUUUAGCUAGUUUUGACCCAAUGGGAAUUUCUAUACAAGUUCGACUUAAGUAGAUGUGAAGCAGCACUACUGAGACAUAGCAUUUUGCUUUCGCUUUCAAUUACAAUCUUUUUUACAUGAUAAUUUUGACAAUAGAACAAAUUCAUUUGGUACUCGUGAUUCUACUGCAGAGAAUAGCUGCUGUUGCCGCUUCUUCUACUGGCGUUAUUCGAACAGUAGUAUAUCAUUCAACUUGGUCAAAAAACCUUGAAUCCAAUUGCAUUUAGAACAAAACUUUUUUAAAAAGUAUUUAAUAAUACUUUGUGGAUGUAUUCAAGCAUUUGGCUACAAUCUUCUCUCCUCUCAGCAUUUAAAAACGGUGAUGAUGCAAAACAAGGCCAUAAUAAAUUAAUUAUUUCAAGAGUAAAUUUCAUGUUUGGUCUUCAAAUUAUAAUCCUUAAAAGUUUAAUUUAUUGUAAUUUUCGAUUCAAACUUUAAGAAUUAUUACAAUUAAAUUCUAUAAUCCAAUUUAAUUGAUUUAAUAUUAAUAUAUUGUUAAUACAAAAGUAAUGUAUUAAUGCUGUGAUUGAUGAUAUGCUAAUAAUUAAAAUACUAUAUCACUUUACAACAAUGGUGCGUCAAUAUUUAGUAAACUAAAUUGGACUAUAGGACUUGAUUGCAAUAAUUCUAAAAAUUCAAGUAAAAAAUUACAAUAAAUUAAAAUUUGAGAGCCAAAGUGCUACCUAUCUCACAGCAUAAGGACCAAACAUACAAUUUAUCCUUAUUUCAAUUAAAAUCAUUCUAUGUAGAGAAAUAUUGGGACACAAUUAAAUUCCAAGUACCACUUUCCACAAACAUGCAGAUCACAAUAAUCAAGAAGGCACCACAGUUUGAACCAUGUUUUAUCUUUUGUCAGAGAAAAUCCGACGUUCUCAUUGUAACAAAGAGUCGCUCAUUCAACAGUUGAAACUUCACUUACUAUGGCAAUUUCUAAUCUAAUCUUAAAUUAGGGAAAACAUUUCUCUAAAUGAGGGGGGUGGGGGAUCUUAAAUGGUGCAUCAUAUCUCAAAUUGCACCUAAAGGCCAUGUAUUCAAGCACUUCAGAUCUUUACUUAACCUAUAAAUGUUGCCGCAGGAAAAUGCAAAGGUAGCAACCUUUCCUCCAUAAUGCAAUCUUCUGAGCGCAUUGUGAUUGCUAGACCACAAAAGAACUUCAUGAAGCUCCCCUUUCUUCCAGCAGAUGUUCACAGUUACUCCGCCUCUCGCCUUCAAUCCUUCAACACAACCGGAAGGCCACUUAUCACGAGGGAGAGCCGGGAGUAAGUAGAGGUCACGCUGGGUGCUUUGGACUAGUAUUUCAGCAAUUGCCGCAGUGAAACUGAGAGAAAAGAAAAUGAGAAAUCGCGAGAAGUGUCCCUCUGGGACUUCUACAGAAGAAUUAUUUAAGUAAAAUUAUUCAACUAACAACUUCUUCACUAAAGUACCAGCCAACAGCUAUGCUGCAGUUAAAGCAGAAAAUACAAAUCGGAGAUUCUGCCUUUUGGGGCUAGAAGCCCGUUUCAACUUCUCGUUAUAACAAAAGCUUCACACUUUUCAUUUGCCAAAUAUGGUGCUUACUAAUUCUCAAAGUAGAGAAGCUGCUGCAGAAACCAAGCCAAAUAGACACGCGGUCCUGUUUCGAUCCAUUACCGUCUUUUUCAAUAUAUUCCUUUAAUUGAUUUAGAAGCAUGUAAUAUUUGGUAGAUGAUGAGUAUGAUCACACAUCCAUAAUGGAUAUUAUAUUCAGCCUUCAAAUUAUUUUUUUCUGAAAUAAGAUAAAUCACCUUGUAGGCAAAAUAUACUAUCUUACCAAAUUAUAUAUGCCAAAACCUUUCCAGAAAUAAAAUUCAAAUUCCUGCCUUUCAAUUGCACAAGAAAAACUUUAUACAAAAUAAACUAUCAUUGAAUAUGUUAUUCCGACAUCCAAAUAGGGGCCUAAGAGUUUUCUUCUAAGAUAGCAAAACUGACAUAUAUCUUAGACACAAUCAGAUUUUACAGUUAACCUAUCCAAAUUGAGACAUUGAUUCAUACCCGAAAUUGGCAUCUAUUUGAAAUGGAGGAUGUGCGGUGAACAAGUUGCUAUACACUCCUCCUUCAAAGGCAGUUUCAUUGUCAGGAUCUACCAAGUUGAUCAGCUGGAAAAUCAUUUUGUAAGCAUGCUCGCUGUUAUGAAGGCGAGCCCACAAAGCCAUCUUCCAUGUAGUUGACCAUCCCGGACCGACAUCACCUAACAAAGUGACAAUUAUAUAAAAGUAAAAAAAGGAAAGAAAAUUAGUCCACACAUUGCUAAAAUUGUAAGGUCUGGAGUACCUCUUUUGUAAAGGCUGUUAGCAGCUGCUUUGCAGAGAUCAGGAGUUUUCUCAACCGUAAUAGUAUGACCUGGAAAAAGACCAAAAAGGUGCGACAGAUGCCUAUGAUGGAUAUCUGGGUCCUCAAAAUCCUGCGCCUGUGUGCAUUGAAUGAAAUUUAGACACUAGGAACACUUAAAACAUGUCAAAGCAACCAGAAAAUAAAACAAAAUAAAAUUAGAAGUCAACUAACCCACUCCAUGAUUGAACCAUCUCUAGCAAUUUUUGUUGGAGGGAGCCUAGGCAAGGCCUUCUCGAUACGGUCAAUUAAUUCAGUAUCGGUUUUCCCAAGAACCUAAAACAACAA